AAAGGACAUCAAAUUUUAUGGAA
rnacentral:snRNA from 1 species